UGGGGGAUAUUGCACAAUGGGCGAAAGCCUGAUGCAGCGACGCCGCGUGGGGGAUGAAGGCCUUCGGGUUGUAAACUUCUUUUGCUCUGAACAAGGCAUGCCUUUGGGGUGUGUUGAGUGUAGGGGUUGAUUAGCGCCGGCUAACUACGUGCCAGCAGCCGCGGUAAUACGUAGGGCGCGAGCGUUGUCCGGAAUUAUUGGGCGUAAAGGGCUUGUAGGUGGCUGGUUGCGUCUGUCGUGAAAGCUCAUGGCUUAACUGUGGGUUUGCGGUGGGUACGGGCUGGCUUGAGUGCAGUAGGGGAGGCUGGAAUUCCUGGUGUAGCGGUGGAAUGCGCAGAUAUCAGGAGGAAUACCGGUGGCGGAGGCGGGUCUCUGGGCUGUUACUGACGCUGAGGAGCGAAAGCGUGGGGAGCGAACAGG
rnacentral:rRNA from 1 species